GUUAAGAAAACCCUUCUCCUGGAAGGCCUGCUCUCUUUCAGGAAGGGCAGAAGGACCAAGGGACAAGCUUGCUAUUUCAGUUCAAUGACCUGCCCUACAAAGCCAUUAGUUUAUGUUUGGAAUAUCUUGUAACUGACCUUUUGAAGCAAUACAAACUUUUCAGGUUGAAAAGAGCAAAGAAGCUCAACUUCCUCAGUCAAGUUGCGGAAUCUGCAUAACCUCCUGAUAAACCUUUUCACUUCCUCAAAGUUUUCUGAAACACUUUCUCAUAAGGCAGAAGCACACUUCCACCCUACACAUCUCAGUUACAUCUCAUGUCUGCAUAAAUAACUUUACUCAAAAUCAGAAGUGAACAGAUCUACAUCACCAUGAAAUAAUGGCCAGAAGAACAGGAAAAAGAAAACAGCAGACGUAGAAAGAAGCCCCAGCCUGAAAAUACCUUUGGCACCAUAUCCAAACUUGAGAACCAUGACACAUUCAUGCUGCAGUAGGCAGGCCACAGGAAGGGCCCUUAUCUACCUUGCAAAGAGCUUCCCCCAAAAGUAAGGAACCGUCCAGUCUAUUCUACAAGCCCCAAUUGACAAAAAAAAAAAAAAAUUAAAAAAAAAAAAUGGAGAUCUGGUUGUCCUCAGGUUCCAGAAAAUGGAAUCUUGCCUUGCAGAUUUCUACAGACACACAGAUUGUUACAGAACACCUUCUGUAGCUACCUUCUGACACCGUUUUGACCAACCUGUCUAGAAGACUGAAGUUUUGUAUUUACAACACAAAUUUUACAACUGUUUUGCUUUAAGGAGUCCCUUUGGUAUCACUGUGCAUAGAGUGUAUACAAUAAAUAGCAUCCUCUCUA